UUCUGGUCUGUCAUGUGUAGUACCAAUGCAAAAAUGUUUUCUGUGCUUUUGCCAUAUCCAAUUAUUUGGUGAAUGGGGGAGUUGAUUAUUGGGGCUGUAAAUGUGUCCUGAUCCUCUGAGACCCAUUGCCGAGCAGGAGUGUUCCCUCUGAGGGGAGCAGGCUCCCAGGCGUGGGGCAGGACUGUCACAGCAGCCCUCAGCACAGCCGUGAGUGGCCAUUUCCAAAGGAGCCGAGCAGCGAUUCCAGAAGCAGCUCCAGAUGGCAGGAGAAGAAAGGAGGCCCCAGCCUGUCUGCACGUGUUUGCCAGGGAGCAAGGAACCAAUUGCAAUUCCUCAUUAAAAAUCACUUCUGCUUAAUUCCUGCAACUCCAGUUGUGGACACUGAACCUCAACCCUAAGCCUUGGUGAAUUGAAUGAACUGUGCUGAUCUCCUAAAUCACAUGGAACAUUCUCUCUCAGCUGGGCUCAGAAGACAAAUAUUGAGUCCCUCCUCAAGCAAGAGAACAAGAGAGCAGCUCCAUGCCACAAAGGAUUUCCAGUCUCCAUAAAAUGUUUUCACCCACUUUUUUUGUGCCUCUCCUUGUCUGCCCCUCCAGCAAAAAGGCAGUCAAUGUCAGAUAUUUAUUUUAGAUGUUUUCUCUCCCAAAACUCCUUGAAACUUCACUCUCAACAUUUGCUGAAUUUAGUACAAUGCAUGUAAAACUUUUCUGGCAGCUCUUACGCCUGUAGAUUUCACAAG